UCUAUUUUUUUAAUGCACAAAUAAAAGAAGAUGAAACAAAUAUAUGUUUGGCAUAAUAUAUACAUGGAUAGACACUCAAACUUGGCAUCAAUUGUAAACACUCCAACUUUUAUAAUACACAUCUAGACAACUCAACUUGGAUUAAGUUGACUCGUAAACUGACCCAUCGCACAUAGCAUUAUGUGUGAGUUAUACCCAACCUUAGGCGCGUUAGAGCUCUCAUCUACGGUCCCCACCUCAAACAUUUGAGAAGUGGCUAUUAUGCUCUUAAUGAACCCCUCUUAUAUUUAUGCACAAUUCUCAAAUCAUAUUCCCACCUAAACCUAAUCCCUUAUCUCUCUAAUAAUUAGUUCUUUCCCAUCUUCACGAAUUUCUACCCAAUUCUUAAAUGCAAAUGGAAUCUCAAUUUUUUUCUUUUUGUCAUUGUGGAAAAAGAGCUAUAAUGAAGAUUUCUUAGUCAGUAAACAACCCAAGUCGUUGGUUUCUUGGAUGUGAAGAUUGUCGGAAUACCAAGUUGGAUCUACCUCUACCCCUCAUGGCUGAUCAUCAAGGUUGCUGCCGAGUCUAUCCAGGGUGAGCAUGAGGACGUUCGCUGCCCGAAGACUCUUCCUAUUACUUAUGUCUUGCUUUCGAUUCUGUGACAUAAUUUUGAGACUACUUAUGUACUAUUAUUCAGACUUGUAGUAUUUGAUUUAGAUGCUUUUGUAUGACCAGACCAGCUACUGGGGUGGAUUUCAUUUAGUUCAGCACUUA